GUUCAGUGGCUUUUCGAUCGAUAGAAUUACAUCAAAGAUACUUAAUUGGCGGUGCAACAAUUUAGCACAGCCCGCGGAUGGGAAAGGUGCAACAUGAAGGCUCAUAACCAACUGGACUGGUGUUAAACUAUUAGUUUACAAUGGAACAUACCACCAACAGAGUGCCAGGCUUCAAGUAUCUGAGAAACGCAUCAGAAUGCCACGGCCUUGUACACCAGAGUGUUCCGUUUGGAUUCCGAGUUUCCCUGCAGCAGCGCUCAAAUCGAGAAUUUUAAAAACAUUGAUCCCAGAAGAAGAACAAACUGUCCCUUUCACCAACAACAACACGCACUUGUAUGGCACCUUCAAUGCAGUUCAACAUCCUUCAGUGCCUUGCAAGAAUAGAGUCAGACACAAAAUUAACGUUGCUCCAAAGAAAGAGGGGCUGAUAUUCAGCAGCAAGUUCUUCUUGAAGAUGAGGACUUCAGGUGAAAUAUUGGUCUAACCUGGGGUUAG